rnacentral:misc_RNA from 1 species
AAAAAAGUUUAUUUACUGCAGCAAUCCAUAGUGACAGGAAUUACAGAGGUUCAACAUGAUGGUACACAAUACACACAUCAACAUGUUCAAUGUUCACGAUAAGAUAGAAGUUUAAUCCGACACCAAGCUUAGUAAAAAACAGAAGCGACUAAUUUAACAUAAAAGCCUUUAGCUUUUUGCCAGUUAAGGAGUUCCGCACAUUGUAAAAUUAGUCUUCUGCAUUCUUCACAACAGUAACAGGGCACGUAGCAUUAUUCACCACAUAGUUGCUUA